AGAGUUUGAUCCUGGCUCAGAACGAACGUUGGCGGCGUGCUUAACACAUGCAAGUCGAACGAGAACGGUUUCUUCGGAGACCUAGUAAAGUGGCGCACGGGUGAGUAACACGUAGAUAACCUGUCCAGGUGUUCGGGAUAGCCCUUCGAAAGGGGGAUUAAUACCGGAUACGUUAGUCUGUCAUAAGGCGGAUUAAGAAAGGUGGCCUCUAUUUAUAAGCUAUCGCAUUUGGAGGGGUCUGCGUACCAUUAGUUAGUUGGUGGGGUAAUGGCCUACCAAGACAUCGAUGGUUAGCGGGUCUGAGAGGAUGAUCCGUCACACUGGCACUGAAACACGGGCCAGACUCCUACGGGAGGCAGCAGUGAGGAAUAUUGCGCAAUGGGGGAAACCCUGACGCAGCGACGCCGCGUGGGUGAGGAAGGCUUUCGGGUCGUAAAGCCCUGUCAGAAGGGAAGAAGUGUGUAGUGGUUAAUAUCCAUUACAUUUGACGGUACCUUCAAAGGAAGCACCGGCUAACUCCGUGCCAGCAGCCGCGGUAAUACGGAGGGUGCAAACGUUGUUCGGAAUCACUGGGCGUAAAGGGCGCGCAGGCGGUUUGAUUAGUCAGAUGUGAAAGCCCACGGCUUAACCGUGGAAGUGCAUUUGAAACUGUCAGACUUGAGUACCAGAGGGGGUAGUGGAAUUCCCGGUGUAGAGGUGAAAUUCGUAGAUAUCGGGAGGAAUACCGGUGGCGAAGGCGACUACCUGGCUGGAUACUGACGCUGAGGCGCGAAAGCGUGGGGAGCAAACAGGAUUAGAUACCCUGGUAGUCCACGCCGUAA
rnacentral:rRNA from 1 species